UGCGGAGGGAUCAUUACAGAGUUACAAACUCCAAACCUUUGUGAACAUACCUACGUUGCUUCGGCGGCCUCGCCCCGGGCGUCGCGGUGCCCUAACGGGAGCCGCGGCGGCCGGACCCAGGCGACCGCCGGGGGACCCAAACUCUUGUUUUUUCAGUGUAUUCUGAGUGGCAUAAGCAAAUAAUCAAAACUUUCAGCAACGGAUCUCUUGGUUCUGGCAUCGAUGAAGAACGCAGCGAAAUGCGAUAAGUAAUGUGAAUUGCAGAAUUCAGUGAAUCAUCGAAUCUUUGAACGCACAUUGCGCCCGCCAGUACUCUGGCGGGCAUGCCUGUCCGAGCGUCAUUUCAACCCUCAGCACCCGCCUUCGCGGCGGGAGCUGGCGUUGGGGAUCGGCCGCCCUCAGCGGCGGCCGGCCCCGAAACGAAGUGGCGGCCGCGUCGCGACCUCCUCUGCGCAGUAGCGAUACCUCGCAGCCUGGAUAGCGGUGCGGCCACGCCGUAAAACCCCAACUUUACCAAGGUUGACCUCG
rnacentral:misc_RNA from 1 species